UUUGUGUGAACUUAUCAACCUUGAUUUUUACUACCCUUCCAAAAGUGGAUGGCCCUUAUCAUAUUUUAAUUUAGUUAAAUAUCACCAACUUUCCAGGCUAUCACUUCUUACUGACACAUAUCCCGUUUUCCCUUACAUGUGGAUUGCCUUCCCAUUAUUUGCCUUUCAGAAGCUUUUCCUAUCCUAAAACCCAUCUCAGUCUCCAACCUUUACUUGUUCUGUUUCCCCACUUAAAUCAUUGUGACUUUUUCUCCCGUCUUGAAAUUCCCCUGUAUACUCUGUACUUUUUAACUUUAAAGUUAGUUGUAUUCAUUCAUCUUCUGAUUUGUAAGCUUUCUGAAGUUUAGAUGAAAAAAAAUUUUGUAAUGCAUGUUUUCUUUCAUUUUUUGUUACCUUUUCAUUAAUGAUACCUUUCCCUCCAGUUUCUUUCAGAUUUAAUAAACAUGAAUUGAUCAGCUUUUAUUUGCUUAGGCAGUGUGCCAGAUGCCUUUUUAGAUAUAGUCUAAAUAUAUCCUCAUAUUUAGUUAUAUUUAAUCCUUAGAGCAACCUACAACAUAGUUACUGCAAGUUGUAUGUACAGAAGAUCCUCGAUAUCCAACUGGUCAUUAAUCCGUGUAAUGCAUGGAGAAGCAAAAAUUGCCAAACAAGAACAUUGACUAAUAAACCAAUCAUUUAUAAAAUUAGGCUCUACUCACCAACUCUUCCUAAUUAACUUUAGCUGUAGCUGUUAUCUGUCCCAUUCACUACAUCAUUAUCCUUCUCUGUCACUCUCUUGCUAAUACAAUGCAAAUACAACACAAACCAAAAUGAAAUUGCAUACUUUGCAAAAGAUGAGAAACUUCAUGAAGUCUGUUAAACUGCAAGAGAAUGACAUUAGUCACCUACAGAACUGACAGAUGAGUAUCCAGCAGAAUUAACCACUAAAGAAAAAAGUGAUCACUCACAGGCAAGCACUUCACAAAAGAAUAAUUUGAGAACAAAGUAUUAAGAGAGGCCCUUGAGAAAAUUAUUUCAAUAAGCCUUUAAAACAAAAAAUGACCCAUUUUAUGAUCAUGUAAAUUUCAAAGCCAAAGGAUGUUGCACCAUUGUAUAGUCAGAAAAGAUAUGCCAAAAAAUAAAGUGUAUUAAACACGUCUUUAACUAUUUUUAAAAAAGAACUAAUUUCUACAGGUUUUAGUUUCACAUUUCAGAUUGAACUGAAUCAACCUUUUAUUUUCUUACCAUUUACUAUUUACUAUAAAAUAUUUUGACCUGUUUUAAAUUGAUUUCAGUACCAGUUAUCCUUGGGUACCAAGGGCCUUUUUUAUCCACCUUCCACGGCCAAGGUAGCAUCAGAUUGCCUGUGCGUGAACUCAGUGUGAACUUCCUUAGUGUAAAGUUAGGGUCUCAGUUAACAAUAUAUAUCCCUUCUGAAUAGAGUUCCUCCUCCAUUCUUGUUACUCCCUUUUUGGGGGAACAUAUGUUUACCUAAUUUUUCCUAUCUCCUUUUUCUUUUUUUUUUUUUUUUUAACUUUUUUAGAUUUGUUGUGCUCUUUUAUUACUGUUUCUUUAUGUCUCUCAUAGUUUUUGCCCUAUUCUCCCCUUUCUCUUUUCCUUUUUACUGUUUUUCCUUUGCCUUAUCACCAGGUUCCUAACCUUGAGGCGUAUCCACUGUCUACUACCUUGCCUGCCCUGCUGUCCCUUUUUAAUCUCCUCAUCUGGAAUACAGUGGUUUGUUGUAGGUUUUUCUCUCCUUAAUUCUAAGUCCGUUUUUUUACUUUUUCAUUUCUCCUCUAACAAAUUUUUUUAACUGGAUUUUUGUUUCAUUCUUCAUUCUGAUUACUUGCACCUCCUUACUUUUGGUGAGAAAGCUGGUGUUACCUAGAACCUCUGUGUGCUAUAGAAACUCUUAUUGCUAAGACCAUGAGUGAGGUAAGACCUAAAUGCCCCUUCUCAAAGGAAGCCCUCUUUCUGUUUUGCCCAACAUGCCCCAGUAUUACACCGAGCCACUUUAUCUUUGCAGUUCCUUCUGCAAACCCCUGCACGCUGGUGUAGUUAUUUCUGUCCAUCUACUGUCAAAGGUCCUUGAUUUACCACUCAGUGGGUAUACACUAAUGAAGUCUGAUUAGAUAUUUGCGGUUGUAAUAUUACCAUACUGAAAAUCCUAAAUUUAGGAUUUUUGUGGGGAGAAAUAUUGGCGGUCUGGAGAAAAACUAUUCUUACCAGGAUCACUUUCUGCUUCAGAAAUUUUAAGAAAUAUUUUGGCUGGGCACGGUGGCUCACGCCUGUAAUCCCAGCACUUUGGGAGGCCGAGGCAGGCAGAUCAGAAGGUCAGGAGAUGGAGACCAUCCUGGCUAACACAGUGAAACCCUGUUGGGAAAUGGGAAACUAAUAGACUUUCUCAUGUUUUAAUAUCUCUAAUUAGAGCAUAAAUGCGAAUGUUGUUCCUUCUCGCAAAUUGGUACAUUUCCCUUUCAUUAUCUUUCUGCAUGGGUAAAAGGUAACUCAGAAUAUAUAUUUUUAAUCUUUCUAAAAAUGGAAUCUUCAUGAAUCAGAGUUGUAGUAAUCUCAUGUCUGUGAUUUGAUGAAAAUUUAAAAAAAUAAGCGCUUUGGAAAAUGUCUGUCUUCAUAUCCUCAUUAGGAAACUUCUCUUUAAUUUUGUAGUCAAAUCAGAAAAUUAAUGCCCGUUGGACCACAGAGGAGCAGCUUCUAGCAGUGCAAGGUGUCCGCAAAUAUGGUAAAGAUUUUCAAGCUAUUGCAGAUGUAAUUGGCAACAAGACUGUUGGCCAAGUGAAGAACUUCUUUGUAAACUACAGGCGUCGGUUUAACUUAGAGGAGGUAUUGCAGGAGUGGGAAGCAGAACAAGGAACCCAGGCUUCUAAUGGUGAUGCUUCUACUUUAGGGGAGGAGACAAAAAGUGCUUCUAAUGUGCCAUCAGGGAAGAGCACUGAUGAAGAAGAGGAGGCACAGACCCCACAGGCUCCUCGGACACUGGGUCCAUCACCUCCUGCCCCAUCAUCCACUCCAACACCAACAGCCCCUAUUGCCACUCUGAACCAGCCUCCACCACUUCUUCGUCCAACACUGCCUGCUGCCCCCGCUCUUCACCGGCAGCCUCCUCCACUCCAGCAGCAGGCUCGGUUCAUCCAGCCCCGGCCAACUUUAAAUCAGCCUCCACCACCUCUUAUUCGCCCUGCUAAUUCUAUGCCACCCCGUCUAAACCCAAGACCGGUGUUGUCCACGGUUGGUGGUCAACAGCCACCAUCACUUAUUGGAAUUCAGACAGAUUCACAGUCCUCACUGCACUAAAAAUUAAAUUGGACACAGCUGCAGUAACUUUUCACCCCAUCAUUAUACCAAUGCUCAUCUGACUGAUGAAAAAGAGGAAAGAAUAAUCAUUUCUAGAUACUGAGGCUGCGAACUAGUUCUGUGGCAGUGGACUAGCAUAAGUGGAUGUCUAAGAAAUUUUUCAGUUCACUAGACUAAAAUGUUAUACAACAAAAAGCCUCCAGUUAGCCUCCUUUCUAGAGUAUAUGUUCAGCAAUGUUGAUCUCAUAAAAGGAAAAAAAAAAGAUUUAAGUAUUCUAUAUACCAAGUUUUUGUUUUGUUUUUACUGUAUUUAUUUUAUUGAGGUUCUUUAUAUUCCUGCCUCUUCAUAGUCAAGGCUCUUAGUACAGGAAUAUUGACUUAGGAAUUGUGAAAACUCCUUAAGUUUCUUAAGGAUGUUUGGCUUUUUUCUUUAAUUUAAUUUUUUAAAAACCAUUUUCCUAUGUUAGGAGUGCAAGAAUAGCCAGCAUUUCCGAUUUUGACAUAUGUUCAUUUUACGCAUAUUUAAGAAAUUAUAGCUGCAUAUCCCUUCUUUCAAAAAAUGUUGCUUUUUUUUCUAAAGGAAUUUUAAUAUAUUCCUUUAAAAGAAAGCAAUUUAAUCAAUUGCAAAGCAAUUAUAUAAAACCACAAAGAAUGUACUAAACCUACUAACCCUUUAACAUGCAGUUUAGGGUCCUAGCGCAGAGUCCUUGUUUAAAGGUCAUUGACUCAUCAUCUAUCAGUAAUGAGAGGAUUGGAAGAAUAAUUUUGCAUACAAAUGAGGACUUAAUUUGUUGAAAUAUAAUCUCUUUAAGUUCCUUG
rnacentral:sRNA from 1 species